rnacentral:rRNA from 1 species
UGAACGCUGGCGGCGUGCUUAACACAUGCAAGUCGUACGAGAACUCUUUAGCUUGCUAAAGAUAGUAAAGUGGCGCACGGGUGAGUAACGCGUGGGUAAUCUACCCUUGAAUUUGGGAUAACAUUGCGAAAGCGAUGCUAAUACCGGAUAAUAUCUUUUAAAUUUCGAUUUAUUAGAUCAAAGAUGAUCUCUACAUGUAAAUUAUCGUUUGGGGAUGAGCCCGCGUACCAUUAGCUUGUUGGUAGGGUAACGGCCUACCAAGGCUACGAUGGUUAGCUGGUCUGAGAGGAUGAUCAGCCACACUGGAACUGACACACGGUCCAGACUCCUACGGGAGGCAGCAGUGAGGAAUUUUGCGCAAUGGGGGAAACCCUGACGCAGCAACGCCGCGUGAGUGAUGAAGGCUUUAGGGUCGUAAAGCUCUGUCAAGUGGGAAGAAACUAUUUAAUAUUAAUACUAUUAAAUACUGACGGUACCACUGAAGGAAGCACCGGCUAACUCC